UGGCCUGAUGCCAGGUAAGCAUGUUUGGUGAAAAUUAGGGUUAUAACAACCAUGAGGCAUUGUCGGCGAGUCAGGUUGUUUGGGAAUGCAACCCUAAUCGGGUGGUAAAUUUCGUCCAAGGGUAAAUACGGGUGAGAGACAGAUAGAGAAAAAGUACUGCGAGGGAAAGAUGAAAAGGACUUUGAAAAGAGAGUUAAAGAGUGCUUGAAAUUGCCAGGAGGGAAGUAGAUGGAGGAAGGUGAUGCAUCUAGGUAGGAUGUGGAAUGACUCAAGAUGGUCCGUUUCUCAACUCGAGGUGUGAACCAACACAAGCCGUUGCAUCGGCACAAGCAUGGGUGGAGUGCUACCUAUUGGUUUUCUAUUGUGGUCAAGGAAUGAAGUGUGCACCCCUUAGGGUGGGCCACUGUGCACCUGUACGCUCGUGGUGUUGGUUGGCAGGCUUUCCAUUCAACCUGUCUUGAAACACAGACCAAGGAGUCUAACAUUUGUUUAAGUUGGUGGGUUUGUAAACCUGUGAGGCAUAAGGAAGUUGAUGGGAAAGAUACCCUCUCCAUGGGGUGCAUUUCCGACCAACCGUGAGCUUGUGCGAAGGGUUCGAGUGCGAGCACACCUGUUUGGACUCAAAAGAUGGUGAACUAUGCCUGAGCAGGGCGAAGCUAGAGGAAACUCUGGUGUAGGCCCGUAGUGAUACUGACAUGAAAAUCGUUCAUCUGACUUGGGUAUAGGGGAGAAAGACUAAUCAAACCAUCUAGUAGCUGGUUUCCUCUGAAUUUUCCCUCAGGAUAGUUGGAGCUCAUGUGUGAGUUUUAUCAGGUAAAGAAAAUUUUUAGAGGCAUCGGGGGCGUAAUUCCCUCGACCUAUUCGCCAACUUUAAAUAGGUAAGAUGGUGUGGUUUCUCCACUAAGAUGUGCCACAUAAUCGAGAGCUCCAAGUGGGCCAUUUUUGGUAAGCAGAAAUGGUGAUGCAGGAUGAACCGAAAUUCAAGUUACAGUGCCAAACUGCGUGCUAAACCAGAUCCCAUAAAGGGUGUUGGUUGAUUAAGAUAGUAGGAUGAUGGUCAUGGAAGUUGAAAUCCGCUAAGGAGUGUGUAACAACUCACCUGCUAAAUAAAAUAGCCUCGAAAAUGGAUGGCGCUAAAGCGCACGACCUAUACUCGACUUUCGAAGCAAUUUCCAAGCUUCGAUGAGUAGGAGGACACGAGGGUCGUUAAGAAACCUUAGGCGUGAGCCGGGGUGGACCGGUCCCCGGUACAGAUCUUGGUGGUAGUAGAAAAUAUUCAAAUGAGAACUUUGAAGACUGAAGUGGGGAAAGGUUCCAUGUGAAAAAAACUUGGACAUGGGUUAGUCAAUCCUAAGAGAUGGAGAAGCCCUGUAUCAAGGAUCCACUUUGCAUGAACAUCAAAAGGGAAUCAGGUUAAUAUUACUGAACAAAGACAUGGCGGUGGAAGACAAUGUUAGGAAAU
rnacentral:ncRNA from 1 species